rnacentral:rRNA from 1 species
GUACGUACGGUGCGGCAGGCGGGGGUAGGACGGAGGUGGGAAUGGUGGGCCGGAAUGACUGGGCGUAAAGGGGGGGUGUGCGGCCUCUCGAGUCGGGUGGGCAGGCCCGGGGCGCAGCCCCGGAGGUGCAUUGGAUACUACGAGGCUGGGGUACUGUAGAGGAGAGCGGAAUUCCCGGUGUAGAGGUGAAAUUCGUAGAUAUCGGGAGGAACACCAGUGGCGAAGGCGGCUCUCUGGACAGUGACUGACGCUGAGACGCGAAAGCGUGGGUAGCAAACAGGAUUAGAUACCCGUGUAGUC